rnacentral:lncRNA from 1 species
GGCACUGCUGAGAAGCACCUGAGGUUCCUUCAGACAGCUGGCGGGCCUUACACUCUUGGCCCCGUAGGCCAGGACAGACAGACAGGUGGGCCCAGAAAGGACCUGGAGCCAUUGACUCAAGUCCGAGUGGCUGCAAGCCGCUGCUGGACAGAACCAGAGAGAAUGGGAAACAUGCCACCAACUUUUAUAGUUACAUGUCAGGUGCAGGGACACGUCCUGAGCAAUGUCCUGUUAGGUGAUUUUGUCACUGUACCAACCUAGAGUGUGCUUACACAAGCCUACGACAGCCACAGGUCACUGGGCAGUAUUACCUUGUGGGUCCACUGUUGUGUUACGUGGUCCAUCAUCGGCCCAAACGUCCUUGUGGCGUGGGACAGCGUUUACACGGCUGCUUUCCAGACUGAGGUGCCCCCUUUGGCCCUUGGUCCUCCUCUGACCGUCUUAAUGGCCCCAAGUUGGCGUUACAGGGGAGCUCUUAGGAAGAGGGGUAUGUCUGUCCAGAAGCUGGCAGGGCCAUGACGGUUUUGUCUCUGUUUGCGACAGAGGCUGAGUGGCUGUCAUCCUUUUCCCACCAGCCCCCUUCGCCAGAGUUGGGGGACAGCCAGGAGUUUUGUGGUUAAAUAAUUUUUUGACCUUCAGCUAUAGGACAUCGGUGCCGUGUUAAGUACUUCAGAAGACCUGGGAGAUAAGAAAUCUGACCUCCUUUUCUAGAUGAAACCCAGACUGAGCGAAGAGCUAAGGAAAAUAUAGAAGCUUGACUACAAGAGGCCUAGGCUGGGUCUAGCAGCCCGUAACAAAUGCUUUUGGUUUUCUUUAUAACAAGGGAAAUUCCUUCACCUCAGGCUCGGAGGAAGUUGAGAGGUCUAGCAUGACUUAACACACGUUUUAAGAGUGAAUUAUCUUUGGGGGUAACUUAGGGACAAACAUCCCUGGAGGCUGCCCCGUCCUCCUCUGCCCCCUUCCCCAGCCUGCCCCUCGUCCUCCCACAUCCUCCCCUUCUCCCUCCACCCAGUGGGGGCCCCGAUGAGCGGCAGUGUGUGGAGAGCAGGAGACUGAUACGGACACACCUCUGCUCUCUUUCUUCUUUCUUUCCUUUUGCAGUGCUGGGGAUCGAGCCCAGGCUCUAAUGCCAUUGAGCCACACCCCCCAGGCCUUCUCUAUUUUUUAGGACCUUCCUGAGGAGGCCAGUCCACCUCGUUUGCUUUAGGAUGAAGGCUUUUGGGUUGCUGUCGAGACUAUAAUGGUGAUUUUAGCCCGUGGCUUAUUGCACACAACUUAUUAUAUUUAAGGCAUGGGGGGGUCUCCUGUGAGCAAGGUUCCUAUCACCCACUGUGGUGGCUGUGCAUGCUUCACUGACCUAUGGGGACAGAGUCACUGGCUGCUCUGUUCCCUAGAAGAACGGACAAGCUGCCAGGUGCACACCUAUAAUCCCAGUGGUUUGGGAAGCCGAGGCAGGCGGAUUGAGAGUUCAAAGCCAGCCUCGGCAACUUAGUGAGGCCCUGACCAACUCAGCAAGACCUGUCUCUAAAUAAAAUGCAGAAAAGGGCUGAGGGUGUGGCUCAGUGGUUGAGUGUCCCCGAUUCAGUCCCUGGUACCAAAAAAAAAGAAGGGACAGGCCAAGCCUCCAAACGGACAGAAAUUCCUGGCCUACCCUCCAAGUCCGCUCCGUGGGGUGGGACACGCGGGAGGGAGGUGUCUUUGGGAAGAGCAGAGAGGUGGCCCGGCUUGGCUUCUCAUGUCUGACUGCCUUCCGCCAAGGUUUAAGUUCCAGGUUGUCAUCAGUGGCCGCGAGUUCCCCCCGGCGGAAGCUGGCAGCAAGAAGGUGGCCAAGCAGGAUGCAGCUCUGAAAGCCAUGACGAUCCUACUGCGGGAGGCCAAAGCCAAGGACAGUGGGAAGCCAGAGGACUUGUCCUGCUGUUCCCCAGAAAAAGAGCCAGAGGAGGUAGGGACCUGCCCAAGGUGGGUCUCGUCUCUCAGGUCUCAAGGGGUAGCAUCUUAACUGGCCCCUGGAAGCGAUCCUGGUCUAAAAGCCCUGGUCUCUAGUCCCAAGACAGCUUCCCGCCUCCUCUGCCCACCUCCAACCCGCUUUCCUCUCCUUCCCAGCCCCCCUCCUGCCCCCUUGAGCCUAGCUGGAGGUGCAGAACGUCAAGCCUGGAAGAGGCUGAAGCAGUACGGUGCUCCGUCUCCACUUUGGGCAGAUAGCUUACUCUCUCCUGCCAUGCCCGGGAAGGCCACCCUUAACACUGACGGAUCCGAGAGUCCCCGUCCGUCCCUUCUGCGGAGGCGGAGCAGCCGGCCUGGUCUCAGUUCCUCGUGCUUUAUUCUGUCUUCUCGUCUCACUUUCUCCAGACAGCGGAGCCCCAGCCCACCGCCACCUCAACGUCGUCCCUGUUUUCUGGGAAGAGCCCCGUCACUACCUUGCUGGAGUGUAUGCACAAACUGGGCAACUCCUGUGAAUUCCGGCUCCUGUCCAAAGAAGGCCCUGCCCAUGACCCCAAGUACGUCCGGGGAGGGACGGUGUCUCCAAGAGGCUUUCUCAGAGACAGGCUCGUCUUCCUCUUCAGAGACGGCAGCUUAUUGUCUCUGAGCAGUUUCUUCUGCUGCAUGUGGAAGGGCCUUCAGGACCUGGUUGCUGCUUGGAAAGCAGAGAAGCUGGAAUCGGGAGUCCAGAGGGACCAAGGGCAAGGAGGGGUUGGUAGCGUGGGGGUCACUGUUGGUGGGACAGAAAGGUCCAGGGCCUUGGUGGGCCUGAGCAGCUCUCUGAGGGUCUGUGGACUCACAUAUCCGAGAGAAGGGCUCUGGAGGAGGGGAAAGUUUUGCAUGUUGAAAGUGGGGAGCCAGGCUGAGAGACCCGGGCAGCAGGUGGGCGAGGGGCAGCGGCUAUGCAAGGCAGAAGUGACUAUAGAAGGUGAUGUGCACAAGAAGUCGCAUGUAGUAGAGAACGUUAGCAAGUUGGGCCGGUCUCUGCAAUCACAACCUUCCUCCCUCUGGUCAGGUUCCAGUACUGUGUGGCGGUGGGAGCCCAAACCUUCCCUACCGUGAGUGCUCCCAGCAAGAAAGUGGCAAAGCAGAUGGCCGCAGAGGAGGCCAUGAAGGCCCUGCACGAGGAGGCCACCAACUCGGUUGAUGACCAGGUGGGCGUUUCUCCUGCUGAAACACCGUGGGGCGAUCUAGCAACGGAGCAGGUCAGGGUGGCCCACGUUUCUUUGAAUGUUCAUGGCUCCUUUUUGUUUGGCUGAUUCUCCUUUAGUCUGGAGGUGCCAACUCAGAAUCACUUGACAACCUGGACUCUGGGAUGCCCAACAGGAUCAGGAGGAUCGGUGAGCUCGUCAGAUACCUGAACACCAACCCCGUGGGCGGCUUGUUAGAGUACGCCCGCUCCCAUGGCUUUGCUGCUGAGUUCAAGUUGGUGGACCAGUCUGGACCCCCUCAUGAGCCCAAGUGAGUGUUCCAGACCCAGCUCCUGCUGGGUGUCAUCAGGUAGGGGUGGUGUGUCGUCCAGGGAAAGAAAGGAUGUGCGCCGCUGUGAAGGACAGGGAAGGCAGGUGAUGAAACAA